ACGUAGGGUGCGAGCGUUAAUCGGAAUUACUGGGAGUAAAGCGUGCGCAGGCGGUUAUGUAAGACAGAUGUGAAAUCCCCGGGCUCAACCUGGGAACUGCAUUAGUGACUGCAUAGCUGGAGUACGGCAGAGGGGGAUGGAAUUCCGCGUGUAGCAUUGAAAUGGGUAGAUAUGCGGAGGAACACCGAUGGCGGGGGGAAGCCACUGGGCUUGUACUGAAGAUCAUGCUCGUACGCGUGGGGAGCAAACAG
rnacentral:rRNA from 1 species